UGGUGAAGUUGAAAUCAUCCCUUCGUAAAUUUUACGGACGCCAUCACGAGUUGGUUGACCGUUAUGGAAUAACCGUAUCACAAAUGAUAUCGAAUAUGUUCCUUACGUCGUAACUACAAUCCCCUUCCCUUUCCUGAAUGUGACCUACCGAAUUAGACUAUAUAUUUACCGGAUUUGUUAUCACAUAAGCAACACGACGGGUGCCGCAUGUGGAGCAGGAUCUGCUUACCCUUCCG
rnacentral:lncRNA from 1 species